AGAUGACUGCUGGUACUUUGUAUCAGAGGAAAGUCCAUGCUCGCGCAAUCUGCGAUGAUUGCAGUGUCUGUGCCAGGCCAAUCAAUAAGCCUGGGCUGGGAGGAGUCCCAGACGGCAGAAGCAAACCUAAAGGUAACCAUGGUGUUGCUUCUCUAAAGCUCCACAGUGACGAACCUACGAGAAAUUGUAGGAAUGAAACGUUGGAAAGCCCCGCAAGCGAGAAACCUAAAUUUUGGUAAGGGAAGUCUGAAUCGGGAAACGAACUGAAACGGACAGGUCAUUGACCUAGAUAAAUUGUCAUCCUCGACAAAACAUGGCUUACAG
rnacentral:RNase_P_RNA from 1 species